CGCCCAGAAAGCCGGAGCAUGGAGGCGGAGGCCGCGGGCAGGGCAGCAGCAGGCAUUUACCCAGUGGAUAUUUUGGAAGAUGACCCUGCUGGGCAUCGGGAAGCGGCUCUGGCUUACCGUGCCACUCUUGGGGAAGGAGCAUGGCCCUCACCAGAGGUUUUCUCUCUUCCCACUGGGGAGCAGGUUAAACUUGAAGCUUCGUCUGUUUGCUUUUGCACUGUGCACUGUGAUGAACCUCAACAUAAAAUCUUGGUCUUGGUUAAUCCCCAGGACACAAAGACAGUUGUGGCUGUUUACAUGAAGGAGUCCUGGUGGACCACUGAAGAUGUACUAAGAACCUCUGAUCCUGCAAGAGAAGGUCUGAUGAAGGUUCAGUCAUUUGGGGAAAGGAUUGUGCUUUUUAUUCUAAACGUCGUUAUUUUUGGAAGACUGGAGAGGAAUUUGGAUGAUGAUGACAUGUUUUUUUUACCUCACUCUGUGAAGGAGGAGGCUAAAAUUCUGUGGAGAGACGGAGCAGCUGUUGGAUUUUACACAACCAAAAGGAAAGGCAGCCUGUGUGGUGAUGGCACGGGCGUGUGCUACCUGCUGCCUGUCUUAGACACCGUGUUUGUCCGGAGGAGCCAUCGCCGCCAGGGCCUGGGCCUGGCCAUGCUGAGGGACUUCUGCCAGACGUUCCGAGAGGACGAGGCCCUGGGCAUCAGCUGGCCCAUCUCCCCUGCCAUGUACCAAGUCUGUAGGAAGUUCCUGGCGGCGCAUCCAGAGGAGCGGGGGCGCCUGUGGGAGGCGGAGCCUCCAGGAGCCUGGGGCCAGCGAGUCAACAUCUGGCUGAAGGUUCAGCUUCAACAGGCAAGGCGUCCAGAUUCUCACCCAGGAAAUUCCAAGGAGGAAGUGACUGCUCUUGGGUGCACUUCUCAAGACGGUGGACGCGGAAUAUCCCAUAAUGGAGAAGACAACAAGGAGAGGAUCAGUGGAGAAGAAGUGGAGAAGAAUGAUCAAGAUUGCGCAGUGACAGAAGCAGCUGGGUGGCUUGCGAGAGCAUGCUGGGCUGAGCAGGAGGGGAAGGAAGCCAAGAGGACGGCGGUGGAUGCUGGGCUGCCCCCAGGGUCGUGGCGGAAGCACAUGCGUCCCAGCUCCUAACCCCUAACUCGCAGAGGCUGAGCUGAGUCCACCGAGAGGCUUGCCUAGGCUCCAGGAGACGUGGGUUUGAGAGCUACCUGCCACUCCAUGCUCCUGUCGCUGGGAGCUGGCCUCUGUCCUUGCUGUGCUGUCAUUUGAGGAGCAAAUGACCACACAGACCUUCUUACCUCAGGCUUGAUGUGUGGGCUCAGGUGAUGGGAAGCCUGAGAAGCCCCCCAUUUAAUCCGAAGGUGCUGUACAGGGGCAAGUAAUCAUUUUCCCACGCUCAGAUUUCAGAAGCCCAUUCGUUAAACCUAACAUGGUUUCUCUUGCUCAGGAUGAAUUUGUGAAGACUGCACUGGAACCACAUGACUACGCCUCUUUCUUCAGCACAAGGAAGCCCAGGGCUGCCCCGUCCACACUGCAGAAAUCCCUCUGGGGUUUGCCCAUGACAGCUCUGCUGUAACUGCGAGACCCCAGACACCAGAGGGGUUUCCAAGGAGACAUGUUUCUUUCUGGAGAAGCUUCAGCCACGUCGGAAGCUCCCUGAGGUCAGGACCAGGCUGCCUGGUGCACACCCAGGCCUCUGGCUCACGUCUGGCUGGUGCAGGAGGCGCUCAGAGUGGACUCCAGGCGGGCACCAGGAUCGUAGCAGCACCUACUUCCCAAGGGAACCACCAGAGGGGACUUCAGGCUGAUGGCCCUUCUAUAGUAUUGGUGCCUUCAGCGGACAGGCUUGUGCUAAUAAAGGCUGAAGAAUAUUCCAUUGCAUGGAGAGACCUGCAAGUUGGCGGAAGAGUAAGAUGUGGAGAUCCCCUUCCUCCCCACAAAUACCUCAGAAAUACAUCUAUAUGUGGAACAACUCCUACAGAACACCUACUGAACGCUGGCAGAAGACCUCAGACUUCCCAAAAGGCAAGAAACUCCCC